CUGCCAGUAACAUCGAGCAACACGAAUUAGUCAUUGUCAAAGUCAAGGUUAGCUAACGUUACCACUUGUUAUUUAGCUUUGCUAAAGCCCUUCAAUGCUUGGAGAGCUCUCCACAAGGUAAAGGGUCGCGGGGGGAUGGAGCCAAUCCCAGCUGGCAUCGGGCAAAAGGCAGGGUACACCCUGGACAGGUACUUGGUGUUCCUCCAGUUGAGCUCUCCGCUUCGUACCUUAGGCCAUGCAGUAAAUGGAUGAUGACAAUGAUGUUCGGCGGGAAUGCAUACUCAAGGGGCUGUGUGUGUACCUCAAUGAAGACCCGGAAAAAUGAGCGAGAGAAUACACUGCAGAAGACAAAGACCUGAACCAAGGAGCCAUUGAGGAGAGCUUGGUGGGAAUACGUGAGAUGCCACUGAUGGACCAGAGGACACUGGGAUUGUCCUGGAAGGCCAGGUGGUACUGCAUGAUCUGGACAACGUUGCCUUAGCUGCUGCCAUCUUGUUUGGACUAAUGUAUGCCUUGAACCUCAACUACCCUCCUGAACUUAAGUACUCUUUCAAAGUGCUCCAGAAAGUUGUGAUGGAGCUGGACGAGAAGAAAGCCCAGAGACUCAAAAACAAACUAUAAGUGAGCUGUUGCCAUUUUAGGCAACCUGGAAACAACAGUACCCUUUCUUCUUGGAACAUGGACCAUUGCUGCUUUUUUAUUGGACUGGACUUUUGACACUUAUGCAACUCACUUGCGCUGACUUUAUGUAUGUAUUUGUUUACUGCAAGUGUAGUGUAUUUGUUUCAGCAGAUUAUUUCUCUCAGGGCCAUGUGUGGCAAAAUGUAUCUCUUUCAUUUUAUGUCAGCUUUGUCAGAUGUGGGAGAACUCCCAACAGCUUCCCCUAUUUUAAAAUGUACAGGUGAUUUUGUUUUUUUGCACGUUCGUAACUGAAAUACAGAAGUGGUGGGAAAGCAAUUACUCCUUAAUUCUAUUACUCUUUAAUUCCAGAACCCUUGUAGUUAAAGGAGCACAAUAACUUUCCAAGCACUGGAUUUACAUUUACCAACGUGUAAUGAUUUCAUUACAUUUGUCUUUUUUGUUAAGAGGUUGUAAUUGUAGUGGAUGUAUUUUGCACUUUUUAGCAUAAUUUUGCAAGACAUUUCUGCAUUAAUCUGGCUUUAGUAUAAUUCCCUAUUGAUGCUGGUUUUAUGUCAUUCAGAAGGUUUUUAAUGACCAAUAGUGUUGCCUCAGGUUGUAGCAGAAUGUUUACAAUGCACU